rnacentral:rRNA from 1 species
AUACGGAGGAUGCGAGCGUUAUCCGGAUUUAUUGGGUUUAAAGGGUGCGUAGGCGGCUUUGUAAGUCAGCGGUGAAAUUUUGCAGCUUAACUGUAAAAGCGCCGUUGAUACUGUGAAGCUAGGAUUUGGUUGCUGUGGGCGGAAUGUGUGGUGUAGCGGUGAAAUGCAUAGAGAUCACACAGAAUAUCGAUUGCGAAGGCAGCUCACAAAGCCAAUAUUGACGCUGAGGCACGAAAGUGUGGGGAUCAAACAGGAUUAGAUACCCUGGUAGUCCACACUGUAAACGAUGAUAACUCGCUGUCGGCGAUAGACCGUCGGUGGCCAAGCGAAAGCGAUAAGUUAUCCACCUGGGGAGUACGACCGCAAGGUUGA